CGACGACUGGCGGCUCACGUCCGAUUCUCCUUCCACUUCCCGACCCUUACAUCACUUGGACACGAGACCCCAUCGCUGGUCCUCCGUGUGUGCCCCGCAUUUGCAGACUCCAGCAGAACCACCUCAAGCCUAACGGCCAGGAAGAUCCUGGGGUGCCCUAACUGCAGUGGCAAGAAAUAGGAAGCAUUGUAUUCGGGAUGGAAUUGU